AGCAGUCGCCGCGGUAACACGGAGGGGGCUAGCGUUGUUCGGAAUUACUGGGCGUAAAGCGCACGUAGGCGGCUUGGUAAGUUAGAGGUGAAAGCCUGGAGCCCAACUCCAGAAUUGCCUUUAAGACUGCCGAGCUAGCAGGUGAGAGAGGUAAGUGGGAUUCCGAGUGUAGAGGUGAAAUUCGUAGAUAUUCGGAAGAACACCAGUGGCGAAGGCGGCUUACUGGCUCAUACUGGACGCUGAGGUGCGAAAGCGUGGGGAGCAAACAGGAUUAGAUACCCCCGUAGUCCCUGUCUCUUAUAC
rnacentral:rRNA from 1 species